GAAAUGCGAUAAGUAAUGUGAAUUGCAGAUUCCGUGAAUCAUUAAAUCUUUGAACGCACAUUGCGCCCCUUGGUAUUCCUCGGGGCAUGUCUGUUUGAGAAUCAGUUUAAACAUCAAAACUUGGCUUGGGGGCGAAAGCUUUCCAGUCCUUGCUUUGGACUUGAGUUGCCUUUGCGCAAGCAGAGCUACUUUAAUUGCAUUUGUGGCCUCAACCAACACAACUUGAAAAUUGAAGGCAUGACCAUUGAACGCAAGUUCUCAAUGAUUGCUGAUAAGACUUUCAAGACCUGUGCUGCUUGAAGACCCAGAUAACCCCAUUACAAAGCGCUGGCUUAAACCCACGCUUUAAGACUUGAUCUCAAAUCAGAUAAGACUACCCGCUGAACUUAA
rnacentral:misc_RNA from 1 species